rnacentral:misc_RNA from 1 species
AGAAAAUCCGAGACAGUGUAAAAUAUGUAAAGACUUCAGAAUCGCAUGAGGAAAAGUUUGUUGAGCUUAAGGAACAACUUCAGGUGCCCAGUGAAAGAAGUCUAUCUGUAGAUGAUCAAUCUCAAUGGAACACAACAUAUCUGAUGCUGGUAGCUGCAUCUGAGCUAAAAGAAGUAUUUUCUUGCUUGGACACUUCUGAUCCUGAUUACAAAGAGGCCCCAUCCAUGGAACACUGGAGGCAGGUCGAGACUGUAUGUGCUUAUUUGAGACCUCUUCAUGAUGCAGCCAACAUCCUUACCUCCUGCACAAAUAGCCCAACCGCGAUUACAUUCUUCCAUGAAGUAUGGAAGAUCCAGACUGAUCUGGCUCGUGCUGUUGCAAGUGAGG